UGUGUGUGUGUGUGUGUGUGUGUGUGUGUGUGUGUGUGUGUGUGUGUGUGUGUGUGUGUACUUGUUUCUGCUAUACCGGUGGGGACUUUGACCUGACUAUUUGCUAUAAAGGUGGGGACUUGUCUUACGGUGGGGACCUAAAAUGAGGUCCCCACGGGUGGCAACACCGUUUUCUUGGCCAUAUUGUUGUUAAUAAAAAAUGUAAAAGUGCAAAAACGUUUGUUUAGGGUUAGGCAUUGAUUUGGUGAUGGUUAAGGUUAGGGUUAGGGUUAGAUAUGAAUGGGAGUCAAUGGUAAGUCCCCACCGGUAUAGAAAAACAAACGUGUGUGUGUGUGUGUGUGUGUGUGUGUGUGUGUGUGUGUGUGUGUGUGUGUGUGUGUGUGUGUGUGUGUGUGUGUGUGUGUGUGUGUGUGUGUUCCAUUGAAUCUGCUCUCUGAGAACGUCGCUGCCUUCAGCUUGCACAGUUGUCCUUCCUUUGUGAGGAAACCAACCAGAGGGAAUGUGAAGAAUGAAACGACACCAGAAUGAUGUCACAGAGAGGAAGACGACUGACGGAGCUUCAACAGUUUGUGACUCACAGAUGAAAUAUGCCAAUGAGGAUUCUACCUCACAAACUUCUACAACAGAAAAGCUUCAGAGACGACAACUCUCUGGGAUUAACGGGAUUCUAAGACAGCUUUUACUGCACCGUGAACUGUUUGUAUUAGGAAGAGGAUGUCAUCGUAUGCAAUAGACUGUAGCUGUACACAUGGUUAAAGUCUCUCUGCAGAAUCACCUGGAGGCAGAGGCUAACUGAAAAGCAGGUCAUUAGUCUGAUGAGGGUCUAGCUGAAGCUCCUGAUCCUGUCCAGCCUGUUCAGUGUGACUUCGCCUCACUGCCACAGUUACAAAGCUGUUUAAGGAAACGUCACAUUACAUUCCCUCAGCACAGUUCACCUGCAGGAUGCCACAUAUCAGAGCAGUCAGACCGAAACCGUCUGUGAGAGCCACGCUACAAUCUGCAUGAAUGUUCAAACCGGAGUGGUUAAAGUCCUCCUUAUCUGUUAAAGGCUGCACAGACUGGCCUUCUUCACCCACAGCUACCAGAGAAAGCUCCACCUCCAUCAGCGACAGAGACACCAUGGCUGAUGAACUACAAACUGAUGACCAGAGAAACCAGGCUCUUCAACCAUCAGGACUUUAUGGCAGCUCUGUCUGAAGCUCUUUACUACAAUGAGAGCACUGUAGGGCAGGCUUCACCCCCACACAACUCCGUUAUCAUCAUACCUGUUAUUUUUUAUUGCUUUUAUAACUCUGUAUGUUUUUCUUUAAAUUAGCCUUGAGCUAACUUUGGCUCAUUUACUACAACUUUGUGUAAACUGCAUUCAUUAAUAUGCACUGUCCUGUCCAAACAAAUACAAAUAAACAGAGCAGUAACUAC